rnacentral:rRNA from 1 species
UGGGGAAUAUUGCACAAUGGGCGCAAGCCUGAUGCAGCCAUGCCGCGUGUAUGAAGAAGGCCUUCGGGUUGUAAAGUACUUUCAGCGGGGAGGAAGGUGCUGUGGUUAAUAACCACAGCAAUUGACGUUACCCGCAGAAGAAGCACCGGCUAACUCCGUGCCAGCAGCCGCGGUAAUACGGAGGGUGCAAGCGUUAAUCGGAAUUACUGGGCGUAAAGCGCACGCAGGCGGUCUGUCAAGUCGGAUGUGAAAUCCCCGGGCUCAACCUGGGAACUGCAUUCGAAACUGGCAGGCUAGAGUCUUGUAGAGGGGGGUAGAAUUCCAGGUGUAGCGGUGAAAUGCGUAGAGAUCUGGAGGAAUACCGGUGGCGAAGGCGGCCCCCUGGACAAAGACUGACGCUCAGGUGCGAAAGCGUGGGGAGCAAACAGG